GCGUUGGCCUGUGUACAAGUCCCUUGGAACAGGGCGUCAUAGAGGGUGAGAAUCCCGUCCUUGACACAGACUACCAAUGCUUUGUGAUGCGAUCUCGAAGAGUCGAGUUGUUUGGGAAUGCAGCUCAAAAUGGGUGGUAAAUUCCAUCUAAAGCUAAAUAUUGGCGAGAGACCGAUAGCGAACAAGUACCGUGAGGGAAAGAUGAAAAGCACUUUGGAAAGAGAGUUAAACAGUACGUGAAAUUGUUAAAAGGGAAACGAUUGAAGUCAGUCAUGCUUUCCGAGACUCAGCCGAUUCUGUCGGUGUACUUCUCGGUUGGCAGGCCAGCAUCAGUUUCGAUCUGUGGAAAAGGUUGGAGGGAACGUGGCAUCCUC
rnacentral:rRNA from 1 species